UACGUAGGGUGCGAGCGUUGUCCGGAAUUACUGGGCGUAAAGCGCACGUAGGCGGAUCGUUAAGUCGGGGGUGAAAUCCUGGAGCUCAACUCCAGAACUGCCUUCGAUACUGGCGAUCUUGAGUCCGGAAGAGGUGAGUGGAACUCCUAGUGUAGAGGUGGAAUUCGUAGAUAUUAGGAAGAACACCAGUGGCGAAGGCGGCUCACUGGUCCGGUACUGACGCUGAGGUGCGAAAGCGUGGGGAGCAAACAGG
rnacentral:rRNA from 1 species